UUGAGGCCUUUCUACUUCUCUUCUUUAUUG
rnacentral:sRNA from 1 species